UACGUAGGGUGCGAGCGUUAAUCGGAAUUACUGGGCGUAAAGCGUGCGCAGGCGGUUAUGUAAGACAGAUGUGAAAUCCCCGGGCUCAACCUGGGAACUGCGUUUGUGACUGCAUAACUAGAGUACGGCAGAGGGAGGUGGAAUUCCACGUGUAGCAGUGAAAUGCGUAGAGAUGUGGAGGAACACCGAUGGCGAAGGCAGCCUCCUGGGCCAGUACUGACGCUCAUGCACGAAAGCGUGGGGAGCAAACAGG
rnacentral:rRNA from 1 species